UGGGGAAUAUUGCGCAAUGGGGGCAACCCUGACGCAGCAACGCCGCGUGAUUGAAGAAGGCCUUCGGGUUGUAAAGAUCUUUAAUCAGGGACGAAAUUUGACGGUACCUGAAGAAUAAGCUCCGGCUAACUACGUGCCAGCAGCCGCGGUAAUACGUAGGGAGCAAGCGUUAUCCGGAUUUACUGGGUGUAAAGGGCGCGCAGGCGGGCCGGCAAGUUGGGAGUGAAAUCCCGGGGGCUUAACCCCCUGGAACUGCUUUCAAAAUCUGCUGGUCUUGAGUGAUGGAGAGGCAGGCGGAAUUCCGUGUGUAGCGGUGAAAUGCGUAGAUAUCACGCAGAACUCCGAUUGCGAAGGCAGCAUACCGGCGCUCAACUGACGCUGAGGCACGAAAGCGUGGGGAUCGAACAGGAUUAGAUACCC
rnacentral:rRNA from 1 species